rnacentral:rRNA from 1 species
UACAGAGGUCUCAAGCGUUGUUCGGAUUCAUUGGGCGUAAAGGGUGCGUAGGUGGCGGGGUAAGUCAGGUGUGAAAUCUCGGGGCUCAACCCCGAAACUGCACUUGAUACUGCCUUGCUCGAGUACUGGAGAGGAGAUUGGAAUUUACGGUGUAGCAGUGAAAUGCGUAGAUAUCGUAAGGAAGACCAGUGGCGAAGGAGAAUCUCUGGACAGUUACUGACACUGAGGCACGAAGGCCAGGGGAGCAAACGGG